UACGAAGGAGGCUAGCGUUGCUCGGAAUCACUGGGCGUAAAGCGCACGUAGGCGGAUUGCUAAGUCAGGGGUGAAAUCCUGGAGCUCAACUCCAGAACUGCCUUUGAUACUGGCGACCUUGAGUCCGGGAGAGGUGAGUGGAACUGCGAGUGUAGAGGUGAAAUUCGUAGAUAUUCGCAAGAACACCAGUGGCGAAGGCGGCUCACUGGCCCGGUACUGACGCUGAGGUGGGAAAGCGUGGGGAGCAAACAGG
rnacentral:rRNA from 1 species